rnacentral:tRNA from 1 species
CGCGGCGCUGCGUAGGCUGGCAUGCAGCCUCGGGCGGUGCAACAGGAUCGGCGGGUUCGCGUGGUGGCGAUGUUCGGGCGCACCGCGCCACGCC